AUGUUACUCCUGUUCUUCAUCUUCAUUAUUGCUGAUGAUAAUGCAGAGGCUGCUGAGAGCAUUAAACCCAGUCAAACCAGCGUAUCUUCAACUGAAGGAAGAAACAUCACACUGUCUUGUAUAUAUGAAGGAUUUGAAAGUGGUCUCCACUGGUAUCAACAAAAACCUGGAUCAAAACCAGAAUUUCUGCUGCUGAUUUAUGAAGGUACUGUCACCCCGGCUCAACCACCUGACCGGAGAAUGUCCAUCAAACAUAACAAAAAGGAAAAGAAAGUGGAUCUGGAGAUCAACCCUGCUGCAGUAUCUGACUCUGCACUCUACUACUGUGCCAUGAGGCCCACAAGUUUUUUUGUGGAAAGUUGCAUGGACGACGAAUGGAACUUUUAG